rnacentral:lncRNA from 1 species
AUAUUUAUUUAAAAUUUUAAUAAACUUUAUUUUAUUUUAAUAUUGAAAAUUAUAUACUUAAUUCUAAUGUCUAAUCCAAAUGAUUUAUUCACUUCAAUAAUAUAUUUAAUCUCACCUAUCUAAUCCUAUUUCUGAACAUAUUUAUAUAUUAUCUAGGUUUAUAUAUUUUCUUCAAAAAUAUUGCAUUUGAGUUUAUACGAUGGAUAUGAUGGAGAUAGAAAAGAAGGGAUAAGAGAAAUCUUGGAAAACAAAUGUAAAGGAGACGGUGGUACAGAGAUGAGCAGGUUCUUUAGGCCAGGAAAGAGUAUUAUGGAAAUCUUGAAAAAUAUCCGGUUAAAAAACGUCAGAAAGUGAAUAUAGCAAGAAAAUAAUCCAAUGAAGAACAAGAAAAAUGGAAAAUACAUUAGGAAGAAUUCUUCUUUUUAAUAUAUAUUGAUCAAAAUAUUGAAUCAUAAUGAAAAUAAUUUUACUAUUGAUUCAAAUAUUUUUUUAAAUAAUAUCAAAACAAAAAUAAUAUUUAUAUACGAGAAAAAUACAUUGUUAAUUCAAAUAUUUUUAUAUAAAGAAAAAAUACUAUUGUUAUAAACGGAGACCACUUUACUCCUGAUUCAAAUAUUGAAUAAUAUAAAUUUAUCGAUAACUUUUUUCAAAUAUGUGAAAAAAUUAAGAGAGUUUUAAAAAUAUUGAGUAUAUAUUUUAAAAUUGUAUUCUCCCCUAUAAAAUAAUUAUCUUAUUUAUAAAAAGAUUUAAUUGAAAUACACUGACAGUGUAAAAGAAUUUUAAACCGUCAGUUAAUCUUAAACGUUGGAUAUUAAAAUAAGUUUGACUUUUAUUUUAAAAAUCUAUAAAGUAAUGCAAAUGGGUGAUGAUGAUGAAUUGAUAGUGUAAAACUUUUUACACUGACAAUGUAUAGUAAUUAAUCCCUUUAUAAAAAAUUAAAACGAUUCACUUAUCUAAUACAAGUUUUAAUAGCUUUUAUUUUUAAUAAUAUUUUUUAUAAUAUUAUUAUUUACAUUUCAUCUUCUAUAUAUAUAUAUAUAUAUAUAUAUAUAUAUUACUAUUUCAAUUUAAAUUUACUAUUAUUCUUAAGUUUAUUCUUUUUUCAACUUUCAACUUUUAUGAUAGUGUAUAAACAAAUGUACGUUCAAAAUUAUAUCCGAAUAAAAAAAAUGUAUCAUGUACGUAUACACGGAUUUAUUAGUAGUUUAUCAAGGAAACAAAUACUUUUAGCCUAUGCCUUAUAAAUAUUAUAAAUGUGGGAGAGUUUAGUUAAAAACAUAAUUUCAUCCUUUUCUCCACCUCUUUCUCAUUAGAAAAGGAGAAAAUGGAGUUAAAAAGCUGGUUUGCAAGUUCAUCUAGCUAAUAAUCAUCCUUAUUGCUCCUUGAUCAUUAUCAACAAUCAAAAUUAGCAUUGCAUGCAUGAUUAUGCUAGAGUUAUAAGUGAUGUAGAUUAGAGUACUUAGUAAGAAAGGAAGGCAAGAAAUUGAAAAAAUUAUAAAUAUUUCAACUCAUCGAUCAAGCUUGCAAGCAAUUGAGGCAUCACCAUCAUCAUCUUUUCCAAAGGUGGGUUUCCUAUUACACCAUGAUUCUAUAGGAUAUGAAUGACAUGAAUGUUUGGAUAUAAAAUUCUGAGUUGCAUGUCAAUAGAUUAAGUAAGAAUGAUGAAAUAAGAUUGUAAGGAAUUGUGUGUUUAAUGAGUAUAAUUGAUGUAUAAUUAUGAUGAAUCAUAUCAUCAGUUAUUAUGUUUGAAACCCUAGAUUAGUAGGCAAUGUGAUGUCUGAAAAUUUUAUGUUUAUUAUAAAGUCAUAGUUGCACAAUAGGUCAUUUGUGUGUAUAUGAUCAUUUGAGAAAUUUUAGAUUAAUUUGAAAGUAUACAAUCAUCUAUCAAAAGGCAUGCAAUCGUUCUUGAUGCACUUAAAAAUUAUAUGCGGGUGGAGAAGGUAUGGACAAUCUGCAGCAGUUAUGCAUUUGUAAUAAUCUGCAAUAAGAUAUAGAAUAAAACAAUGUUAUUAAAAUGAAAUAAAAUAUUUAGUAAGAAUUACAAAAUAAAGAAGGAUUUUUUUUAUUGGAAAAUAAAUUCAUUCAAAGAGCAAGAAGGAAAUUUGAAUAGAUGAAAAACUGAUUUACACAUUGGUUUCACUGCCUCCGUUGAAAGAAAGAAUAUGGAGAGUAAUAAAAUCAUAGUAUAAACAAAUUUGAUAUUGUUAGUCAUAUUUUCCUUCGUUGCCAAUAACAACUAGAAUAUGUGUUCAUUAAUUUAUAGUGUACAAAUUUUUUUUUUUGCAAUGAAAAAAUAAAUAAACUUUUUUACCAAUUAAAUUGAUCAAAUUGUUUUGUUGUCCCUUUCUUACUAAUAAAUAUCUCUUAAAUUAAUGUGUUGUGUGUUUCCCCUCUAGAACAAUCAAUAAAAGGGUGACUUAAAAAAAAUUCUAAUCAUUAGAACUUAUUAGUUUUUAAGUAAAGUUUUAACCACAUAUGAUAGAGAGGGGACAUGUUUUUUUUUUUAUAGAAUUAUUCGACAAUUAUAAAAUUUUAAUAACAAUAAUUACAUUGGACUAAACAUCAUUGUUCUGUACAAGUUGAACAUGUCAUCGAUUUCUUUUAUUUUAUUUUUAUAUGUAGCCUUUUUCUUUGUUACAAAAUAUAACAAUUAUAUAAAGUCAUUUGUUCAUAGAAUAUAGCUGUCAAUAUUUAUCUUUUGGUGAUUUCUUUUAUAUAUUUUGAUUAAUAUUUAUAUACAAAAUUGAAUAGGAUUUCGAUAGCCACACCCUCUAUUGUUAUUGAAAGAGUUAUCUCAUUGAUGAUUUCAAAAAUUUCUAACAAAUUUAGUUUUUAUAUUUAUUUAUUUUAGAAAAGAAAAUUUUGGAGAUGAAAUACAUCAUUUAAUCAAGAUUAAUCGAUCUUGAAAUUAUGUGGCACCUCAGCAAAUAAACAAUCAUAUGUAAUAUUGUUAACACUCUAUCUUCGACUCUUUUUACUGCCUUGCCCUAUUUUUAAAUUUUUUUUUUCAAUAUAUCCCACUUUGAAAAUUAAUUUCCAGAAUGUCCUAUUUUAUAUCUUUGUCUCGCCUAUUGAAAGGACGAGUUGCUGAAUCACGUAAAUUAGUAUUGACUCGCCCAUUGGUUGGACGAGUCCUGGCAAAACUUUUUCCCCAUGCAUGAACUCGGCCAAUGGAUGGCCGAGUGAAUGAAGUGAAUUUUUUUUUGUUUUUUAAACUAAUUUAAUAGAUU